GGGAAACUGAGGUCUUUGUGGAGAGAUAUCCCGGCCGGAACACGACCCAGAGAGACUAAAGCUUUGAGGGGGGGAAUCUUGGUGGACUGAAACCUUGUCUACCGUUAGCCUACGUCUGCCCCAGCCCUGCCACCGAAACAGGCUUCCUCUACCCUGAACACCCUACCUAGGACAGCUCAGACUGGAACCUCGCUGACGAAGAAGGGAAACAGUUUGUGGAGAGAGGAUGGAACGUGCUUAUGUAAAACACUCUCCUGUCUCGACACUCCCCAGUGCCGCAGAACCACAUUAAAAUUGGGAAAUAUUUAACAAAAUAAAUACCAAUACAAUAAAACAUA